rnacentral:sRNA from 1 species
AAAACGUUAGCUAUACCUAGAUUUUCCUGUUCUAGCAAAUUGUACUUCAAACAGCUAUACCACGCUCAUUUUCAGAAAUACCAGUUAUACUAUUGAAACAGCUAUACCACGCUCAUUUUCAGAAAUACCAGUUAUACCAUAAAUAGUACUUCAAACAGCUAUACCACGCUCAUUUUCAGAAAUACCAGUUAUACCAUAAAUAGUGCUUCACACAGCUAUACCACGUUUCUUAGGUAUACCUAGAUUAUUCUGUUCUAGCAAAGAUUUUCGGACCAAAAACAGUAAUCUGCCUAAGAUUAACUACGAAUCAACCAUUACAGUACAUUAAAAUGUCUUAAUAGACCCAGAAUAUAUAGUUGCCAACAUAAUGUCCCUUAAUUUCCAACACCAAUUUCAAAUCUAUCAAAUCUAAUUGAAAUCUACAAAAUUCAAACACAACAACACAAUACUUGAUGAAUUAAGAUGUCCAAAGUAUAAGAAAAGAAUGGUAAAGCUCACUGUGAAUAACAGAAGCAAAACGACGACGAACUUGGUCGAUUGGAUUCAACGUCGAAGGAUUCGACGAUAGUUGCAGUCGUCGAUUUGGAUUUUGUGAGGGAGGAAAAGAAAUUCUGGGAAUUUCUGAUAGGUUAAUAUUUUGUGAAUUAAAUGGUAUUGGUUUGGAGACUUAACCGUAAUUAGUUGGUUUGGUUCGUCCGUCCGGUUCCGGUUUGUUGGGUAAGGGUAAACAAGGAUUUUUAAAAUUCAUUAAGAGUAUAGGAGUAUGUUAGAUUAUAUGAGAGUAUUUAGAUUCAUUUUAGGAGAGUAGAGAGUAUAUGAGAUCAUCGUCCGUGCCAAGGAAAUAGUACUCUUUUUUUCCCAAACACGUGUGAGGUGGUUUAAAGGGUAUAAUUGUCAAUUUCAAAAUAAGAGGUUUAUUUGGUGCGAAUCUCAAACGUCCAAAAUGUUUGAAAUCAUAUAACCAUGGGUUGUAUUGUAACUAUAGCUUACCAUCCAAAUCAUAAAAACAAUAAAUGAUGUGUACAUUUUUCCAACAGCGAUCAUGCUUAU